UUGCCACGUAUCAACUCAAACGACGCUGACAUUUGAAACUUAACUUAUCAGAACGUUAAAUCUAUCUAAAAGUUCAACUGUUCAAAGCUUCCUGCCAUUAACCAGUAAAAGGUUUGUAAAACAAAAGAUAAAGAAUUUUCGUGCUCGAUUACGACGUAUAAAUAUGCCCAUGGAAGCUUAUAAUUCUGUAAUUGUACAUUAAUCAAAGUCAAACAAAGUUACAAUUCCAAACAACAACAAUAUGCUUACAAAAAACAAAUCAUUGCGAUCUUAAACAAGAUAAAUCAAACGAAGUUACAAUUCCAAACAAGAGCAAUAUGCUUACCAAAAACAAAUCACUGCCAUCUUAAACAAGAUGGAAUCGCCAGGAAUAAGAAAUCUGUCUUACAUUCAGCAAAUAAUUAACGUGGUGCAAAAGGAACUUGCUCAGUUUUUCAUUAAACAAUGGAACUCUCGUUACAAAUCAACUUAUGGAGAAUGGGAUGAUACACACAUCAGUGGUAACAAAUUUUACAAUUUAGAAUCAAGAAGAAAGUUAGACCAAAAAACUCGACAAAAAUAUCAAGAUGGAGAUACCAGUAAGUGGGACUGUACGAUAUUAUUUGAUGCAAUAAUUUUUUCAAAUUCAAUUGGAAAGCACCUUGACAAAAAAACAAAGGAUGCUGUUCAUGCACUUCGUUGUGAAAGAAACAAGUACGCACAUUGGUAUGAAAGGGA